AUAAAAAAUAAAAAGACAAAACAACAACAACAAUUAAUUUGUGAGAUAAAUGCUCUCACCAAAGCGGGGGGAAAAAUGAAAAAGGAAUUCACGCUCCAAACUUCCAACUUCCAUCGUCUUCUGAUUGGUUCUUAAUUGCUCAUAUUUCCGGGAACUGGCAUACGUGAUCGUUUCCUUUCGACGGAGGAGGAUCAUUGGAUUCGAAGCUCACAUGCUGCUACAGCUGAACUUCUGGCAUUUGCUAUUCAGACCUUCUCUGUAGGUGUCUAUUUUGUGCUUUCUUUGUUAAUCAGCUCAAUCGCCAUCUUCAUUCACCAAAGCCACACCCUGUGGGCGAGCUUUUGAGCCCGAGUAUAAUGGUUGUUUCUACACUAACGACGACUACCUUCUCUUCAUGUUUUCCCUUUCCAAAAUGCAUCCCUGCCCACUUGAAAUCUUCUGGAGGUCACCCUCGAACUCUCUGUUGCUCAAGUGGAGAUGAAGAUCUUAAUGGCUUAAUUAAUGUGUCAUCGAUGUCGGAGUCGGAAAGACGUGGGGGUGCACAGAUGGUGAAGUCGUCAGAUGGUGAAUUACCGGCAAAAAACAGUGAAAUUUGGCAACUCUUCAAAGAAGCUCGGCAGAAUAUCUUGUACUUGGAUAAACAACGUGCUCUUGCUAUAGAGGAGCUGAACAAAGCAAUCAGUGAGAAAAACUCACUGCUUGAAAAGAUCGAGGAACUAGAGUUAGAAAAGCAGGCUAUGGAUAGAAAAGAUCAGGCAUCAAUAUGCUGGCAGUUGCUACUUCGGAUUGAUUCUAUGGUUCUCACCGGCAUGAUUAACUCUGAAGAGGUGUCUAAAAUGAGACGGCUGGUAAUGGAUCACAAAGUUAGCAUCGUUGAUGCUUUCACAGAUAUCCUGCAGAAGAAAGAUGCUGAGGUUUUAGCAGAGCUACGUCAGUUUUCUUACAGAAGCAAGAAGAAUGGUUUUCACAUUGUUCACAUUUGUACUGAAAUGGCUCCAAUAGCAUCUUUUGGAGCGGUAGCAUCAUUUGUAACAGGGUUAUCUCAAGCUCUACAAAGAAAAGGACACUUGGUGGAGGUUAUCUUACCAAAAUGGAUCGCAAAGUUUAAGUUCAACAUGUUGCUUUCAAGGUAUGGAAGCAUGAACCUAAAUGAGGUUCAAGGGUUGCGAGAGAUUGAGGUGGAGUACUAUUCGUAUUUUAAUGGCCAACUGCAUGGAAACAAGAUAUGGACCGGGGUUGUUCGUGGCAUAGGGGUUACUUUCAUUCAACCUUUGUAUUACUCAUCAUUUUUCAACCGUGAGAAGGCACAUGGAUACUCUGAUGACUUUGAACGUUUUAUGUACUUCUCUCGAGCAUCAUUGGACUACAUUGUGAAAUCUGGCAAGAAGCCUGAUGUGUUACACAUACACAAUUGGCAAACUGCUUUAAUAGGACCGCUUUUCUGGGACAUUUUUGUUCAACAGGGACUUGAAGGUUCUAGAAUCUUAUUUUCGUGUCAUGACAUUCAUGCACAGUCUCUAGUACAACCGGAGAAACUAGCACUAUGUGGACUUGAUCCUGCAAGGCUUCAUCGCCCUGACCGUCUGCAAGACAGUUCCAAUACGCACCUUGCAAACCCAAUGAAGGGUGGAAUCGUUUACUCCAAUAAAGUUGUAAUAAUGUCAUCCACACAUUCGAAAGGCCGUAUAAUUCAUAGUUCGAGUCAUGGUUUGGAAACUACCUUAAACAUGCACAAGGAAAAAUUGCUUGUUGCUCCUUGUGGGUUUGACAGCUCGGCUUGGGAUCCUGAAAAAGAUAAAAUUCUUCCAGAAAAUUAUAGUGCAGAUGAUAUGAAAGGAAAAGCUGUAUGCAAAAUCGCAUUGCAGAAAAAAAUGGGGUUAGCUGAGAAUUCUUCUUUUAUUACCGUUGGAUGUUUUUUGUCAGAUUUGUCAGAUUUGUCAGAUGUUGACACAGAGAACCUGAGAGCAAUUGUUCAGAAUGCUACCAAAAUGGGUGUCCAGUUCAUUUUCAUGAUGACUGGGGAAGUGACAAGUAGACACAAGGGACUAGAAUCUCUUCAAGUAAAAAUUGAGGAUGCAAACGUGAGGUUCAUAAACAGACACGAUGAGACAUUGUCACAUCUCAUUUUUGGAGGCUCCGACAUUAUUCUUUGUCAUUCUCUUCACGAUCCUAUUCUGCAAGUGCCAGUAAGUUAUUAAUUUUCUCUUGAUCCAGAGUACGAAAGCCAAAUGGCCGAAGGCAGAGGGAAAUCCCCUCCCCAAAGCAACUAAAUCAGUACAGCCUUCCAAUAAUUUAUAAUAGACAAUCAACUGUAGCUUCAAAUGCAUUUUUUUUCCGGUGUGGUUAGAGCACCCUAUAUGAAGUGUGCUAAUUUUCUGUAACUGAUGAAAAGAAACCCCACAAUGCGACCUCCUUAUCCUAAAAAAUUCUGCUGUUUCUUUCCCUCCAAGUCAGCCAUCAUUGCACAGUUCCACAAAAUGUGACUGUCUUUCGAAAGAGGACCACCAAAGGAUUUAGAAUAAGGUGCUCCAUCUUAUCUGGAAGGCACAUAUCCAUCCCAAACUUUUGCUGCACAAAAGCCCAACCUUUCCUAUCAAAUGAACAAUGAAUGUAAAUGUGGUCAAACGUCUCUUUGUUUUACUUACCAGCAAUCUGAGGUGGAGAUUGUUCGGUGGGGCAAUUUUCUUUGGAGUUUUGCUGCUGUGUUUAACUAGUUUGGGGAUCUUCGGGCCCCAAAAUAAUCUUCUCCAGAGGAACUCUUCCUCGAGAGCUCUCUAUCAAACAGAGAGAAUAGGUGAACUCUUCAGGAAGAGGAAAUAUGCAUUGAAGUCGACCUUAGGUCAGUUUUAAGUUGAAGGCUCUGAGAUAUGGAUCUGCACCGAUUGCAAUUACCACCAAUAACGAUAAUGGAUUCAGGCACUUUCCAGAUCAUGACAACGAGACCACUAAAUUAGCCAUGUUCAUUAACUCUACCUUCGGAUACUUGUCCUUCCGCCAAGCCCUAGAUGAAAUU